GAAAGUGGUUCUUUUGAUGCUUAGUAUAAUAAACACUGAGCUAACAAUCUAAACUUCAUUCUUGAAUGAGUGGCACUCAAGGUGUAAAGGGACUUCAGGCCAGCCACAGUAGUGCAAAGUGAAGUGCAGAUGUGUUUAGGCCCCAUCCAUGUUAUUACAGCUUCAUCCAAUUCAGGGUCGAGGUAGAGCUGGAGCCUGUAUCUGCAAGAAAUGGGCUCAAGGCAGGGUACACCCUGGACAGGACUCCAGUCCAUCGCAGGGCACAUUCACACUCACAGCCACAUGUAGGGCAUAUUUCCCUAGAAGCCAGUUACCCUACCAGCAUGCUUUUGGACUGUGGGAGGAACCCGGAGGGAACCCACGUGAGCACAGGGAUAAGGUGCAAACUCCAUGCCGAUAGCACCCCGGGUCCGGGUGUGCACAGGCAGUGAUGAUUAAAUAUCCUCAAUAUUGCACUUGGCUGUAGCCACCUGAAUUGGUCUGGACUCAUCUUGCCAUGAGUCAGUGACUUGCCUGUGCACCAUUGUUUCUCUUCUUACCUGCCAAAUGUAUCACUUUGUGACACUGCUUCAUGUAAUGAAGCAUUUUAAGAAGCAGCUCUUUAAUUAAAUAUUCUGAAGGAAGAAUGGAAGAAAAGCAUAAUGUUUAUUGACUAAUGCAGAACAACAGUACAUGUGAACUAGGGAAAACGGCUCUUGAAACGUUUUGUCUAAGACUUGCAUUCUAAAUGGCAUGUGUUGUCUUCUCCCUUAGACAAAGAGAGAAGGUACUUGGUGAACAUGACUAUUCCAAGUCCAGUUUUGCCAUGACCUGCCUGUUGCUGAAGCCGGUGCAGAAAGUGUUGAGCAGCCCACCCCUGAAGCUUGAUUCACCACGAAGAGAAGCAAAGUGUUUCCCAAGACCUUUUAAGCCAGACCGUGUCAAAGACUCAAGGAGCCUUGUUGCCAGGGGGAACACACCGGAGUCUGUCUUUGGUGCUUUAAUAAACAAAAGUGCUUCACUUCCUUAUGGUGUUAUGGAUGUCUUAUUUCAAUUGCCGCUUCUCUGCUUUGUUCCAGGUCUGCCCUCUGGUGGUAGUGGGGUGGGGCUAGGUAUGGCUCCUCCCCAAACAGGGAGAUAGCCAAAAUUUGGGCCCGUUCCUGGGGGAAACAGGUGGGGAGUAGCUAGGAGGGCAGAGGG
rnacentral:lncRNA from 1 species